AUAGAAAUCUCCCACAGUGAAGUGGGUGCCUCAUUUUGGAGAGUCACCUGAGAUCACCCUCUGCAGACCCACUCUUUCAUCUACCCUGUGAGGCCUCACAGGACCUGCAAAGCCUAAAGGAUCCAGAAAUUCCUUGGCCAGAGUUUUAAAGACUUCCUGAAAUCCAUGUCAGAUCUAGGCAAGGAAAAGAAACCCAGCCAGGCUUCCCUCCGGGGAAGAGUUCAAAGUCCAGAGGGAAAUCACAUAGACUGUUGAAAUGAAGAAGUUUUGUCAUUUCCCUAGAAGAGAAAAGGUCACACUGUGAGCUCAGAAAUUAGCAUAAUCCAACCCAGAGAAUGCCAGAAAUGGGCAAAUAGGAUUUUCUAUAAAAAGUCAGGAGAGGGGCUGAGAAUAAUGAAUUUGACCUCAGAGGCCACUUGCAAGGCUUAGGAAGAUGGAGACAGGUGGGUCAGGACUCACUUGGCAUGCUUCAGGCCAAUCAGGGGCCCUGUCUCAAAGAACAAGAUGGAUGGCUCCUGAGGAACACCACUUGAGAUUAAUCUUCUGUGCACACGCACACGUAUACACACUUACCCACACUCAGGUGAGCCCUUUCUCUGUAUUCCACAUUUGGAAAUUCAAUUCUCAUCUCUUUGCACCCCUUCUACUCAUCCAAAAAUCCUUCUUCACCCCACAAAUGAAAGAACUCAGUUUGAAUUCGGCCUUCAGUCUUACCCUGCCAGGAAAGCUAAGGAGCAGGAAGUGUUCUUGGAAACGAAGGCUGAGCGAUGGGUCUGUAUCACCUGGCACCGAGAAGGCUCUUCAUUCUCUGAAUCCGAGAGACGUGCAGGACACUGGCAAGGAGACAAGGGAGACAAACUGUCCGUGAGCUUCCCGUGGGAUCUAUCUGUUCUGAGUUCCAGUUUGAUCCCAAUUUUUUUCUAAAAAUACUAAUUGCAAAUGUGACUUUACCUGAAAAUAUCCAAAAUCAAAUUAACCCAUUAUCAAA